GCGAGGGCGGAGCUGAGUUAUCCUCAGCACAGACCCCGAGAGCACCGCGAGGGUGGAGCUGAGUUCUCCUCUGCACAGACUUCGGAGAUACAGGGAAGGCAGAGCAGUGUUCUCCUCAGCACGGACCCGGUCGGGCGGGCCGGUGGCACCCCGAGGGCGGAGCUGCGUUCUGCUCAGCACAGACCUUGGGGGCACUGCCGCGCUUUGGGACAACUCGGGGCCGCAUCAACGUCAAAGAAGAUGGCCACGGAGACAGCAGCGUGGUCAGAGUGGUAGGAGCAGACCAUUGGAGAGAGCUGCUCCGUGCCUGGCUGCCGGGUGCUAGAGCCUGCAACCCACUGGCUUGCCUCACUGUGGUUGGUGGUGGCGGUGACAGAGACUGCAGCACGACCAGAGUGGCUUUUCUGGCUUUGCCCGCCCAGCUGCUCCAUGCCAGGAGGAGGAGGAGACACCUAUAGCCUGUGACACCACGACUUGCCUUGCCGCGGGUGGGUGGUAGCAAUGGAGACUGCAGUGCGCCAGAGCGGUAGGAGAGCGGCCACGCUAGGAGGGCAGGUGCCUGCAGCCAGGGUUGGGGGUCAGGCUUACAGCGAUGGAUGGGCUGCACCAGUAGCCAGGUGGUAGGAGCCUUGUAGGGAGGGCUGGUCCUUUGGCAGUGGGCCUGGCUUUGCCCUGCCCCUGCCAUGGAUCUGGCCCUAUACUGCCCUGCCUUGCCCUGUACUUGCCCUACUGUUACCUGGACUCUCAGCCCCGUCCUGCUCUGGUCCCAUCCUGACCCUGUCUUGGCCCUGUGCUACCCUGUCCCUGCCCUGGUCUUGCCCUGGCACUGGCCCUUCCCUGAACCUGCACUGGCCUGACCUUGACUCUGGCCCUGGCUCUGGCCCUGCCCCUUGUCCUGACCCUGGUCCUGUCAUGGCACUGGCCCUGCCAAUUGUCAUGGUCCCGCUCCUGUUCUGACCCUGACCUGGCCUUGGACAUGUCCUGGACCUGCUUUGGCCCAUCCCUGGCCUGGCCCCACCAUGGGCCUGCCUGUUCUGCCCUCUCCUGGCACUGACCUUGCCCUGUCAUGGCCCAGUGGUGCCAUUGCUCUGCCUUACCGUGCGCUGGUUGUGCCUUGGCCCCUCUUGGUGCUGGUCACUCCCUGGACCUGCCCUGACCCUACCUGGGCUUUUGCCCUGCCCUCACUAUGGCCUGGCCCUGGCCCUAGCCCUGGUCCUGCCAUAUCCCUGGCCGUGCUCUUAUCCAGGCCCUGCCCCUUCUGCUGCCCUGGCCCUGGCCUGGAACCUGGUCCUGUCAAGGACCUGCCCUGACUCUGCCAUGGCCCUGGCCCUGCUCUGCCUUGUUCCUAGCCCUGACCCAGACCCAGACCCUAUCCUGGCUCUGCACUGGCCUUUUCCUGGCCCUGAGCUGGCAGUGGUCUGCCCCUGGUCUUGCCAUCACCCUGCCUGCUGUGCUCUGGAUGUGUCGUCACCCUGCCCUGGCCCUACUCUGCCUUUGACCCUGCCCUGGCCUUACCUUGGCCCUCACCCUAGUCUUCACUAGGCCCUGCUCUGGAGCUGGCCCUAGCACAGACCUGGCCCUGACCCUGGCCCUGGUCUUUGUCCUGCCAUAGCCCUGGCCCUGAAGUGGACUUGGAGGUGUCCUGGCCCUGGUGUAACAUGGCUCUGCAUUGGCCUGUCCCUGCCCUGCCCCUACCAUCGCCUUGCCCUGCUCUGCCCUGUCCCAGUACUGACCCAGCCAUGCUAUUUCCCUGCCCUACCCUGCCUUGGCUGUUCCCUGGCUCGGUUCUGGCCCUGGCCCCGACCCUUCCCCGGAUAUGCUCUGACACUGCCUCAGCCUUGGCACUAGCCUGGCUCUUUCUUGGCAUCAGCCCUGCUCUCUCUGUGGACCGGCUCUUGUCCUGUCCUGCACUGGCCAUACCAUGUCCUGCCCUGCCCUGCCCUGACUCAGCCCUGGUUCAGCCCUGGCCCAGCCUUGGCCUUGGCAUUGCCCCUGGUCCUGCCAUAUUUCUUGCCCUGUCCCUACCCUGGUCUUGGCCCUGACCCUUACCUUGCUCUGGCCCUGCCCUUGCCCUAACACAGCCCCUGGCCCUGUCAUGGCCCUGCCCUGGACCUGUCCUGGUCCUGGCCCUUCCCUGCUUGAGACCUUGCCCUGGUUCUCCCCUGGCCCUGACCCUGAAAUGCCUGGCCCUACCCUGGCCUUGCACUGCUCUGGUCCUUGCCCUGACUCUGGUCCUGUCACUGGCCUAGCACCAGCCCUGUUGCUGGUCUUACCAUGGCCAUGACCCUGCCUUGGCCCUGUCUUGACACUGUCCUGGAUCCUGGCUGUGCCAAGAUCCUGCACUGUCCUUGCCGUUGUUUUGCUCCUGUCCCAAACCUGGUCCUGCCCAGGCCCUGGCCCUGGCUCUGGCCCUGGCCCUGCCCUGGCUGUUCCCUGGCCCUGCCCAGGUCUUGGCACUGGCCUGGCCCUGCCCUGCCUUGGCCCUAUGCUUUCCUGGCCCUGCCUUGCCGGCCCUGGCCCUGCCUUGGCCCUAGCCUGGCUUUGACCCUGCCCUGGCCCUACCUUGGCCUUCACCCUAGCCUUACCUGGGCACUGUGUUGGACCUGGCCAUAGCACAGACCUGGUUGUGGCCCUGGCCCUGCCAUGGCCCUGUCCCAGACCCUAGCCCUGCCAGGUACCUGCCCUGGCCCUGCUCUGGGCCUGGCUUUGUCCCUGGUUCUUAGAUGAACCUGGCCCUGCCCCUGCCCUUGUCCUUGCCCUGGCACUGGCCUUGGACAUGUCCGUGGUCCUAACCCUGGCCCUGCCCUGGAGCUGCCACUGUCUUGGCCCUGCCCUGGCUCUGGCCCUGCCCCAGCCCUGGCCCUGCCCCAGCCCCAGCCAUAGACCUGCCCUGGUUGGUUGUGUCCUACCUUAACCCUGUGCUACCCUGGGCCUGCUCCACCCUGCCCUGGCCCUGCCCUCCCUUUGGCCCUGCCCUCCCUUUGGCCCUGCCCUGACCCCACCUUGGCCCUCACACUGGCCCUAGCACAGACCUGGUCCUAUCUGUGGCAUUGGCCUGGCAUUGAGCCCUGCUCCUGACCCUGCUCCUGCCAUGGCCCUGGCCCUGCCAAUGACCCCGACAGCGCUGGCCCUGGACCUGUCUUGGUCCUGGCCCUGAACUGGCCCUGCCCUGACCCUGGCCCUGAAGUGGAUUUGCAGGUGUCUUGUCCCUGAUUUAACCUGGCCCUACCAUGGCCCUGUCCUGACCCUGUCCUGGCCCUAAUGUGGCCUGGCUCUACCCUGGCAUGCUAUUCAGGCCCUAGCCCUGACCCUGUCCCUGUCCCUGUCCCUGUCCUGGCCCUAGCCCCGUUGCUGGUCCUGCCAUGGCCCUUGUCCUGACAUUGCCCUUUCCUGGUCCUGGCCCUGGCCCUGUCCCAGCCCUGCUCUGGCUCUGGUCUGAACCCUGGCCCUGCAAUAGACCUGCCUUGGUCCUGCCCACACCCUGGCUCUGGCCCUACCUCUGCCCUGGCCAUACCCUUGCCCUGGCCUGGACCCCGGUCCUGGUCCUCGUCCUGCCCCAGCUGUGGCCCUGGUGCUGCCCUGCCUGUACCCUGUUCUAUCCUGGGCUGGCCCUGCCAUGGCCUGGUCUUGCCAUUGCCCUGCCCUAGCCUGCCCUGCUUGUGCCCUAGAUCUGCCCUGACCUUUGCGCCUGUCUUGGUUCUAGCCUUGAAAACAAAAAAAAAAGGAAAAGAAGCAUUUUGUAUUCUCUUUUAGAAAGGGUAGAUAACUGGAAAAGUAUUAAUAAUGAAAAUAACCGGAAAUUGGACUUAUAAAUUAUAAACCAUGUAAUUAUUAGUAUUUGAAAAUAUACUCAAAUGUUUCUCAGGUGUUACUCAGGUGUUUCUUUAUAGCAACACAAGAAUAGCCUAAUAUAGUAACCAUCACCCAAUCAAGAAAUAGGACAUCUUUGCCUCCUUUGGAAGUUCUACCCACCACCCCUUCAUCCUCCCCCAGGCUACCACUGUUAUAAUUUCUAUCAUUCUAGAAUUAGUUUUGGCUGUAUUUUUCUUUUUUUUUUCAAGAAAUAUUAACUGUUCUUAAUUUGAUAUUAUAUAUAAGCCAUACAAAAUGCCUUUUGAGAAGUUAAAAGAACCAUUAUAUUUUGAGAUGGGGUCUUACUCUGUCACACAGGCUGGGGUGCAAUGGCAGGAUCAUGGCUCACUGCAACCUUGACUCCUGGGCUCAAGCCGUCCUUCCACCUCAGCCUCCUGAGUAGCUACGACUACAGGAAUGCACCACCAUGCCUGGCUAUUUUUAAUUUUUGUACAGAUGAGGUCUCUCUAUGUGGUCCAACUUGUGGCCUCAAGCAAUCCUCCCACUUCAGCCCCAAAAAAGUACUGCGAUUACAGGCAUGAGCCACUAUGCCCAGCCAAGGAACCAUUUUACAUACAGAGAAUUCUAAUUAAAUUGACAUAGUUCAGACCAGAAAUAUAAAGUAGACAUUGUUACCUUAUGUUAAGUCUUUGCCUUUAAGAGGCACAUGAACACAGAACACAGAUGUGUCUUGCUUGGUUCUGAGACAGUGAAGACAUUUCCCCAGUAUUUAAAUAUAUUCAUAUAGCUAGUUAUAUAAAUCUAAAUAUAAAGCCAAUCUCUAAUAGGUUUUAAGAUGGCAUUCACCAUCUUUGUGAAAAGUUGAACACUACGAGUUAAGCCCAAUCAUAGUUUUAGAAGGGGGAAACAGUGAUAUCAUUUACUGAAUCAGAAUUACUAUUAAAAUUUUAAAAAACCCGGAUGUAUUCAUUUAACCACAAGCGAGUCUUAAUUAAAUCAGGACUGCUCAACAAAAAUAUUCUGUGAGUUAUUCAUGAUUUGAAUUCUGAUGUAUAUUAGAGAGCUAUUAAAUUAUGUACACAUAAAAAAGUCAUGUGGUCAAUUAUUACUCAUUAUUAGCUUUUCUGAGAUAAGCUAUCAAGUCUGCCCUUUCUGCCUUCUUCUUAGUGCUGGCAAUGGUCAUUUUUG